rnacentral:rRNA from 1 species
CGACCUGCCCGGUGAAUAUUUAUUUAAACGGCCGCGGUAUUUUGACCGUGCAAAGGUAGCAUAAUCAGUUGUCUUAUAAUUGAAGACUGGAAUGAAUGGUUAAACGAAAUUAGAGCUGUUUCAUUUGUAUUUAUUAGAAAUUGGCUUUUAAAUGAAGAGAUUUAAAUUUGAUUAAGGGACAAGAAGACCCUAUUGAGCUUUAAAUAAUUUUAAGGGUUAAAGUUAUUAUAAAGAUCUAUGAUCUUUAGUAUUUUUUUAGUUGGGGCGACUAAGGAACAGGCGAAGCUUCCUUUAUUUAUUUAAUUGAUAGAUUUUGAUCCUGUAUUACUGAUUAAGAGAAAUAGUUACCAUAGGGAUAACAGCAUAAUCUUCUUGGAGAGUUCUUAUUAAAAAGGGGGGUUGUGACCUCGAUGUUGGACUAAAAUAUCCUAAGGGUGUAGAAGCUUUUAAGGGUUGGUCUGUUCGACCAUUAAAAUUUUACGUGAUCUGA